rnacentral:tRNA from 1 species
GGGGUUGUGGCUCAGUGGCAGAGCCCUUACCUACCAUGUGUGAGGCACUGGGUUCCAUCCUCAGCACCACA